UUACAUCUUCUGGAUAUUUUGGAUACCGAACUACAUUUUUGUAACCUCUAGCAAAGUGUUACUUGAUUCUAUUAACUUUCCAUUUAUAAACUUUUAUACAGUACACGCAUUGGAGAGCAUUGGUAUUAUUUCACUAACUUGAAUUACAUGUGAUCAUCUUGGGACCGUUCUUCUACUGCUAGUAGAAGAUCCAGAUGUAUUACCCUUAUCACCCAUCUAUGAUCUAGC
rnacentral:misc_RNA from 1 species